GAUGAACGCUGGCGGCGUGCCUAAUACAUGCAAGUCGAGCGAACAGAUGAGGAGCUCGCUCCUCUGACGUUAGCGGCGGACGGGUGAGUAACACGUGGAUAACCUACCUAUAAGACUGGGAUAACUUCGGGAAACCGGAGCUAAUACCGGAUAAUAUAUUGAACCGCAUGGUUCAAUAGUGAAAGACGGUUUUGCUGUCACUUAUAGAUGGAUCCGCGCCGCAUUAGCUAGUUGGUAAGGUAACGGCUUACCAAGGCAACGAUGCGUAGCCGACCUGAGAGGGUGAUCGGCCACCCUGGCACUGAGACACGGUCCAGACUCCUACGGGAGGCAGCAGUAGGGAAUCUUCCGCAAUGGGCGAAAGCCUGACGGAGCAACGCCGCGUGAGUGAUGAAGGUCUUCGGAUCGUAAAACUCUGUUAUUAGGGAAGAACAAAUGUGUAAGUAACUAUGCACGUCUUGACGGUACCUAAUCAGAAAGCCACGGCUAACUACGUG
rnacentral:rRNA from 1 species